GAACGCACCUUGCGCCCUUUGGUAUUCCGAAGGGCAUGCCUGUUUGAGUGUCAUUAAAUUAUCAACCUUGUUCGCUUUUACGAGCUUGAGCGAGGCUUGGAUGUGAGGGCUUGCUGGCUUCCUUCAGUGGAUGGUCUACUCCCUUUAAAUGCAUUAGUGGGAUCUCUUGUGGACCGUCACUUGGUGUGAUAAUUAUCUAUGCCAUUUGACUGUGUAGCAAAAUUAUGGGAACCUGCUUAUAACCGUCUCGCAAGGGACAAUUUAAUUGACUAUUUGACCUCAAAUCAGGUAGGACUACCCGCUGAACUUAAG
rnacentral:misc_RNA from 1 species